rnacentral:rRNA from 1 species
AACUUAAUUCUUUUGAUUUUGGAGAAAUAAAAGCAUGGAAAUUAUUUAUACAUGUUAGUGAAAACGUACAAGUGAGUAAACCCUAAUAAUAAAUUAAUUGGUAUCAGGUUAGUUAAAAUAAAAAUUUAACUAGCUUUAGACAUCUAGUAAAAUAACCACGUUUUAAAUGAAACAAGAUGAAAUCUUAGACAGCAGUAAAGAAUACUAUACAAUUAAUGAAAGUUAGAUAUGAUUAUUAUCCUUAGCUUUGUCUAAUUAAGUGCCAGCAGACGCGGUUAAACUUAAGAAGCUAGUUUUUAUAUUAAAAUAGGUUAUUAGAUAUGUAAGAAAAACCUAAAGUAUGUUAAGAAAGUUUUUGAAUUGGUUAAAUAAACAAAAACCUUAAUACCAAAACAUAAAUAAUAACAUAAAGUUUUCUGAAAUAUGAAAAGAAAAAUAUCAAAUAGGAUUAGAUACCCUAGUAGAUUUUCAUGUAAACGGAUUAUGUUAACCUGAACAGUACACUUUUAAAAGUGAAAAUCAAAAAUUCUGGUUGUUUAUUUUCCAGUUAGAGGAAUAUGUUGUUUAAUUUGAUAAUCCACAAAAUAUCUUACCUAUUUUUGAAAAUCAGGUGCUGCAUGGUCGUCGAAAAUUUAGAUAUGUAAUCUAAAUAUAAACCUAUAUGGUUGAAGUCAGAUAUUAUGGCCCUUAUAAAUAGGGAUAUUACGUAUUACAAUUAUUAUAUAAAAUUAAAAGUAAAAUUAGAUGAAUUAUGGAAUUAAUUCAGUAAAGAGAAUUUAAAAGUAAAUGAAGAUAGAAGGCCUCAUUGAACAGGUUAAAAUAUGAGUACAAAUUGCCCGUCGCCUUUGUUAAUAAUAUAAGAUUAAAAACAGAGUAAGUCGUAACAUAGUGGGGGGAAGGGAACUUCUCCCUGUGAAAUUAUUUUU